AUUCCAGCUCCAAUAGCGUAUACUAAAGUUGUUGCAGUUAAAAAGCUCGUAGUUGAAUUUCUGUUCUUUUCUCCCUUUCCUCCCCUCCCUUUUUUUUCCCCUUUUCUCUGCGUCCAUCCUCGGGGAGAGCGUAUCUGGCAUUCAGUUGUCGGGUGCGGGAUCCUCGUCAUUUACUGUGAGCAAAAUAGAGUGUUCAAAGCAGGCUUAGGCCGUUGAAUACAUUAGCAUGGAAUAAUAAGAUAGGACCUUGGUCUAUUUUGUUGGUUUGCAUUCCAAGGUAAUGAUUAAUAGGGAUAGUUGGGGGUAUUCGUAUUCAAUUGUCAGAGGUGAAAUUCUUGGAUUUAUGGAAGACGAACUACUGCGAAAGCAUUUACCAAGGAUGUUUUCAUUA
rnacentral:rRNA from 1 species